rnacentral:rRNA from 1 species
GAUGAACGCUGGCGGCGUGCCUAAUACAUGCAAGUCGAGCGAACAUACGAGGAGCUUGCUCCUCUGACGUUAGCGGCGGACGGGUGAGUAACACGUGGAUAACCUACCUAUAAGACUGGGAUAACUUCGGGAAACCGGAGCUAAUACCGGAUAAUAUAUUGAACCGCAUGGUUCAAUAGUGAAAGACGGUUUUGCUGUCACUUAUAGAUGGAUCCGCGCCGCAUUAGCUAGUUGGUAAGGUAACGGCUUACCAAGGCGACGAUGCGUAGCCGAACUGAGAGGGUGAUCGGCCACACUGGAACUGAGACACGGUCCAGACUCCUACGGGAGGCAGCAGUAGGGAAUCUUCCGCAAAGGGCGAAAGCCUGACGGAGCAACGCCGCGUGAGUGAUGAAGGUCUUCGGAUCGUAAAACUCUGUUAUUAGGGAAGAACAAAUGUGUAAGUAACUAUGCACGUCUUGACGGUACCUAAUCAGAAAGCCACGGCUAACUACGUG